rnacentral:rRNA from 1 species
CCUACGGGCGGCUGCAGUCGAGAAUCUUCGGCAAUGGGCGCCAGCCUGACCGAGCGACGCCGCGUGGGGGACGAAGGCCCUCGGGUUGUAAACCCCUGUCGGGGGGGAGCAAGGCCCCGCGGAGAGCGGGGCUUGAGCGAUCCCCGGAGGAAGCACGGGCUAAGUUCGUGCCAGCAGCCGCGGUAAGACGAACCGUGCGAACGUUAUUCGGAAUCACUGGGCUUAAAGCGCGUGUAGGCGGGUGCCCGCGUCCGGCGCUGAAAUCCCCCGGCUCA